GUGCCAGCAGCCGCGGUAAUACCGGCAGCUCAAGUGAUGGCCACUCUUAUUGGGCCUAAAGCGUCCGUAGCUGGCCGCGCAAGUCCGUCGGGAAAUCCACUGGCUCAACCAGUGGGCGUCCGGCGGAAACUGUGCGGCUUGGGACCGGAAGGCUCGAGAGGUACGUCCGGGGUAGGAGUGAAAUCCCAUAAUCCCGCACGGACCACCGAUGGCGAAAGCACUUCGAGAAAACGGAUCCGACAGUGAGGGACGAAAGCCAGGGUCUCCAACCGGAUUAGAAACCCUUGUAGUCC
rnacentral:rRNA from 1 species